UCAGUCGACUCCUACGGGAGGCAGCAGUGGAGAAUAUUGCACAAUGGGCGCAAAGCCUGAUGCAGCAACGCCGCGUGAACGAAGAAGGCUUUCGGGUCGUAAAGUUCUUUCUUAGGGAAGAAAGAUGACGGUACCUAAGGAAUAAGCACCGGCUAAAUACGUGCCAGCAGCCGCGGUAAUACGUAUGGUGCAAGCGUUAUCCGGAAUCACUGGGCGUAAAGGGUACGUAGGCGGUGAUGCAAGUCAGAAGUGAAAGGCUACGGCUCAACCGUAGUAAGCUUUUGAAACUGCAUGACUAGAGUUCAGGAGAGGUAAGUGGAAUUCCUAGUGUAGAGGUGAAAUUCGUAGAUAUUAGGAGGAACACCAGUGGCGAAGGCGACUUACUGGACUGAUACUGACGCUGAGGUACGAAAGCGUGGGGAGCGAACAGGAUUAGAUACCCUGGUAG
rnacentral:rRNA from 1 species